GCUAACAGCCGGUUUGUUCACAAAUUAACACUAAGUAAAGAACACCUAUUUAUCUCCCCAUUAUCACAAUUCCCCUCAGAUUCUCCUGAUGUUUGUAGAGUUGACACGGAAUCUUAUUCUUCUACAAAGACGGUUAUCUUCGCUUUCUAAACUGACUGCAGAGGACGCCACUGCUGUAAAUGAUGGAGUUCAGAGGUCAAACUUUGCUGUUUGUGGUCUUGUUCAUGUUCAUCUCAAAUGUGGAAGCCAACAACAACAGCACAUCCAACCAAACAACAAUAGUGCCAGAUGACCACGGAAGCAACCCACACAAUGAUGCAUCAUGGACAGUGGCCGUUUCCUUGACUACAUUCCUCUGUGCUGCCGUUUUGAUAAAAAUAUUCUAGAAUGCUCACAUACAGACAUGUAUCAAUGCAAGGUUUUAUGUUUUAGUUCUCCACUGUUUGAAGCUUUAUGUGUUAUAAUAGAUCUCUACUGUUUGAAGUAUAUGUUGUGUUGAUCUUAGUGAAUGUUUUAUUAUUUGGUUCUUCAGCUGUAGUCUUGGUCACUUAAGUAAUAUCUUAUAGAGCAGCCAUUGUUAAUAAAAGAGAUAAUACAGUCCAAUUGUUUCAAUACAGCAAUUGUCAUUGAAGUGGAAAAAAGAUGGAUAACAAGUCUUGCUUUGCAAGACAUUCAUUUAUGCUGUUUUCAACAAAGAGGUUGUUCAUGUACUCAGUUAUAUUUUGUAUGAUAUACUUUACUUUUAAAUAAUUGUACAUGUACUAAAGAUUUUCUUCAUAUAAUUAUACUUAUCUUAAAAAUGACUGACAUUCAGGUUUAAUGUAUGUGAAUUUGUUCUUAUUUUUUGUAACUCAUGUAAAAAAUAAUCAAUAAAGAAAUUGAUAAC